GACGAACGCUGGCGGCGUGCUUAACACAUGCAAGUCGAACGGAAAGGCCUGCUUUCCCUUGUGGAUUGCGGGUACUCGAGUGGCGAACGGGUGAGUAACACGUGAGUGAUCUGCCCCCAACUUGGGUAUAAGCCUGGGAAACUGGGUCUAAUUCCCGAUAGGACUGCAGGGUGGUGCCUGUGGUGGCAAACGAUUUUCUAGUGGUUGGGGAUGAGCUCGCGGCCUAUCAGCUUGUUGGUGGGGUAAUGUCCUACCAAGGCGGCGACGGGUAGCCGGCCUGGGAGGGUGGACGGCCACAUUGGGACUGAGAUACGGCCCAGACGCCUACGGGAGGCAGCAGAGGGGAAGAUUGCACAGUGGGCGGAAGCCUGAUGCAGCGACGCCGCGUGGGGGAUGACGGCCUUCGGGUUGUAAACUCCUUGCGACCGCGAGGAAGCCACCUGGUUGGAAGGGUGGUGACGGUAGUGGUAGAAGAAGCACCGGCUAACUACGUG
rnacentral:rRNA from 1 species